GUCGAGGGGUAGCAGGGAGCUUGCUCCGCUGACGACCGGCGAACGGGUGCGUAACGCGUAUAGAAUCUACCUCUUACUAAGGGAUAGCCCAGAGAAAUUUGGAUUAAUAUCUUAUAGUAUGUUAACUUGGCAUCAAGAUAACAUUAAAGGUUACGGUAAGAGAUGACUAUGCGUCCUAUUAGCUAGAUGGUGUGGUAACGGCACACCAUGGCAACGAUAGGUAGGGGCCCUGAGAGGGGGAUCCCCCACACUGGUACUGAGACACGGACCAGACUCCUACGGGAGGCAGCAGUGAGGAAUAUUGGACAAUGGAGGCAACUCUGAUCCAGCCAUGCCGCGUGCAGGAAGACUGCCCUAUGGGUUGUAAACUGCUUUUAUACAGGAAGAAACACUCUCACGUGUGAGAGCUUGACGGUACUGUAAGAAUAAGGAUCGGCUAACUCCGUGCCAGCAGCCGCGGUAAUACGGAGGAUCCAAGCGUUAUCCGGAAUCAUUGGGUUUAAAGGGUCCGUAGGUGGAUAAUUAAGUCAGAGGUGAAAUCCUGCAGCUCAACUGUAGAAUUGCCUUUGAUACUGGUUGUCUUGAGUUAUUAUGAAGUAGUUAGAAUAUGUAGUGUAGCGGUGAAAUGCAUAGAUAUUACAUAGAAUACCAAUUGCGAAGGCAGAUUACUAAUAAUAUACUGACACUGAUGGACGAAAGCGUGGGGAGCGAACAGGAUUAGAUACCCUGGUAGUCCACGCCGUAAACGAUGGUCACUAGCUGUUCGAACUUCGGUUUGAGUGGCUAAGCGAAAGUGAUA
rnacentral:rRNA from 1 species